rnacentral:tRNA from 1 species
GUGAAUAUGGUCAAAUGGUAAAAUUUCUCUUUGUCAAGGAGAAGAUGCGGGUUCAAUUCCUGCUAUCUACC